rnacentral:rRNA from 1 species
UACGUAGGUGGCAAGCGUUGUCCGGAUUUACUGGGUGUAAAGGGCGUGUAGCCGGGCUGACAAGUCAGAUAUGAAAUUCCGGGGCUCAACCCCGGACCUGCAUUUGAAACUGUUGGUCUUGAGUAUCGGAGAGGCAGGCGGAAUUCCUAGUGUAGCGGUGAAAUGCGUAGAUAUUAGGAGGAACACCAGUGGCGAAGGCGGCCUGCUGGACGACAACUGACGGUGAGGCGCGAAAGCGUGGGGAGCAAACAGG